GAGGGUAUAGCUCAGAGGUAGAGUGCAUGCUUAACAUGCACAAGGUCUUGGGUUCAAUCCCCAGUACCUCUG
rnacentral:tRNA from 1 species